CUGUCUACGAGGGGAGCAGUAGGGAAUCUUCCGCAAUGGACGAAAGUCUGACGGAGCAACGCCGCGUGAGUGAUGAAGGUUUUCGGAUCGUAAAACUCUGUUGUUAGGGAAGAACAAGUACAAGAGUAACUGCUUGUACCUUGACGGUACCUAACCAGAAAGCCACGGCUAACUACGUGCCAGCAGCCGCGGUAAUACGUAGGUGGCAAGCGUUGUCCGGAAUUAUUGGGCGUAAAGCGCGCGCAGGCGGUCCUUUAAGUCUGAUGUGAAAGCCCACGGCUCAACCGUGGAGGGUCAUUGGAAACUGGGGGACUUGAGUGCAGAAGAGAAGAGUGGAAUUCCACGUGUAGCGGUGAAAUGCGUAGAGAUGUGGAGGAACACCAGUGGCGAAGGCGACUCUUUGGUCUGUAACUGACGCUGAGGCGCGAAAGCGUGGGGAGCAAACAGGAUUAGAUACCCUGGUAGUCCACGCCGUAAACGAUGAGUGCUAAGUGUUAGAGGGUUUCCGCCCUUUAGUGCUGCAGCAAACGCAUUAAGCACUCCGCCUGGAGAGCCCCCC
rnacentral:rRNA from 2 species